ACGUAAGGGGCUAGCGUUGCUCGGAAUUACUGGGCGUAAAGGGCGUGUAGGCGGCCGAGUAAGUCGAAUGUAAAAAACCAGGGCUUAACCCUGGGGAUGCGUUCGAAACUGCUCGGCUUGAGUCUGGUGGAGGGUAAUGGAAUUCCCGGUGUAGCGGUGAAAUGCGUAGAUAUCGGGAAGAACACCGAAGGCGAAGGCAGUUACCUAUGCCGAGACUGACGCUGAGGCGCGAAAGUAUGGGGAUCAAACAGGAUUAGAUACCCUGGUAGUCCAUACCGUAAACGAUGUAUACUAGGAGUUGGUGGUUUCCAUUAGCUCCGUAGCAAACGCAUUAAGUAUACCGCCUGGGGAGUACGGCCGCAAGGUUG
rnacentral:rRNA from 1 species